CUGCUGCCUUCCGUAGGAGUCUGGGCCGUAUCUCGGUCCCAAUGUGGCCGUUCAACCUCUCAGUCCGGCUACUGAUCGUUGCCUUGGUAGGCCAUUACCCCACCAACUAGCUAAUCAGCCGCAAGCUCAUCUAUCAGCGAAUUGCUUCUUUCCCACUAGGUUCAUGCGAACCCUAUGGCAUAUGCGGUAUUAGCAGUGAUUUCUCACUGUUAUUCCCCUCUGAUAGGCAGAUUUCUUACG
rnacentral:rRNA from 1 species